UAAUACGUAGGGAGCAAGCGUUGUCCGGAUUUAUUGGGCGUAAAGAGCUCGUAGGUGGUUCAGCAAGUCGGGUGUGAAAGCUCUGGGCUCAACCCAGAGAUGCCACCCGAUACUGCUGUGACUAGAGUCAGGUAGGGGAUCGCGGAAUUCCAGGUGUAGCGGUGAAAUGCACAGAUAUCUGGAGGAACACCAGCGGCGAAGGCGGCGAUCUGGGCCUGUACUGACACUGAGGAGCGAAAGCGUGGGGAGCGAACAGGAUUAGAUACCCUGGUAGUCCACGCUGUAAACGUUGGGCACUAGGUGUGGGGAGACGUCAACUCUCUCUGUGCCGUAGCUAACGCAUUAAGUGCCCCGCCUGGGGAGUACGGCCGCAAGGCUA
rnacentral:rRNA from 1 species